AACGAACGCUGGCGGCAUGCCUAACACAUGCAAGUCGAACGAGACCUUCGGGUCUAGUGGCGCACGGGUGCGUAACGCGUGGGAACCUGCCCUUAGGUUCGGAAUAACUCCCCGAAAGGGGUGCUAAUACCGGAUAAUGUCUUCGGACCAAAGAUUUAUCGCCUUUGGAUGGGCCCGCGUUGGAUUAGCUAGUGGGUAGGGUAAAAGCCUACCAAGGCGAGGAUCCAUAGCUGGUCUGAGAGAAUGAUCAGCCACACUGGGACUGAGACACGGCGCAGACUCCUAGGCAAGGGGGGAGUGGGUAAUACAGGAAUAUGGGGGAAGCUCUGGAACAGCAGCGCCGGGUGAGUGAUGAUGGCGUUAGAGUUGUAAAGCUCUUUUACCCGGAACGAUAAUGACAGUACCGGGAGAAUAAGCACCGGCUAACUCCGUG
rnacentral:rRNA from 1 species